rnacentral:lncRNA from 7 species
GUGUUGGCGAUAUCACGGUUCCAAAUAACUCCUCCAUGAUGUCCAAAUGUUCUCUUAAGCAAUCAUAUUCUUUUUUUUAGGCAAUAGCAAUCAUAUUCAUGUAGAUGAAACAUCUUAAAAGCUGCUUUGUAUAUAGAAAAAGAAUGAAAUGUCAGAUCAUGCAAAUCCUAGAAACAAUGGUUUGCACCAUCUGUUUUAAAUUCUAAUCCAAUUCUAUAUUAAUUUCAUAGUAUUCCAGGGGAAUUGCAUGUACCACAAUCAGGUCCAUAUAACUAGAUAGCUGCUUGUCAAGCAAGAAAAGCCAAU